rnacentral:rRNA from 1 species
GGAGCCGUAGCGAAAGCGAGUCUGAAUAGGGCGCAUAAGUAACAGGUCGUAGACCCGAAACCAGGUGAUCUACCCAUGUCCAGGAUGAAGGUAAGGUAAUACUUACUGGAGGUCCGAACCCACGCACGUUGAAAAGUGCGGGGAUGAGGUGUGGGUAGCGGAGAAAUUCCAAUCGAACUUGGAGAUAGCUGGUUCUCUCCGAAAUAGCUUUAGGGCUAGCCUCGAGGUAAAGAGUCAUGGAGGUAGAGCACUGUUUGGACUAGGGGCCCUUCUCGGGUUACCGAAUUCAGAUAAACUCCGAAUGCCAUGUACUUAUACUCGGGAGUCAGACUGCGAGUGAUAAGAUCCGUAGUCGAAAGGGAAACAGCCCAGACCACCAGUUAAGGUCCCCAAAUAUAUGUUAAGUGGAAAAGGAUGUGGGGUUGCUUAGACAACCAGGAUGUUGGCUUAGAAGCAGCCACCAUUGAAAGAGUGCGUAAUAGCUCACUGGUCGAGUGACCCCGCGCCGAAAAUGUACCGGGGCUAAACAUAUUACCGAAACUGUGGAUGAACCUCUUCGGAGGUUCGUGGUAGGAGAGCGUUCUAAGGGCGGUGAAGUCAGACCGGAAGGACUGGUGGAGCGCUUAGAAGUGAGAAUGCCGGUAUGAGUAGCGAAAGAAGGGUGAGAAUCCCUUCCACCGAAUAUCUAAGGUUUCCUGAGGAAGGCUCGUCCGCUCAGGGUUAGUCGGGACCUAAGCCGAGGCCGAUAGGCGUAGGCGAUGGACAACAGGUAGAGAUUCCUGUACCAGUGCUAAUUGUUUAACCGAUGGGGUGACACAGAAGGAUAGGGAAUCGCACGAAUGGAAAUGUGCGUCCAAGCAGUGAGUGUGAGAAGUAGGCAAAUCCGCUUCUCGCGAAGCAUGAGCUGUGAUGGGGAAGGAAAUAAAGUACGGAAGUUCCUGAUUUCACGCUGUCAAGAAAAGCCUCUAGGAAGAGUAGUACUGCCCGUACCGCAAACCGACACAGGUAGAUGAGGAGAGAAUCCUAAGGUGAGCGAGAGAACUCUCGUUAAGGAACUCGGCAAAAUGACCCCGUAACUUCGGGAGAAGGGGUGCUCUAUUAGGGUGCAAGCCCGAGAGAGCCGCAGUGAAUAGGCCCAGGCGACUGUUUAGCAAAAACACAGGUCUCUGCAAAACCGUAAGGUGACGUAUAGGGGCUGACGCCUGCCCGGUGCUGGAAGGUUAAGAGGAGUGCUUAGCUUCGGCGAAGGUACGAAUUGAAGCCCCAGUAAACGGCGGCCGUAACUAUAACGGUCCUAAGGUAGCGAAAUUCCUUGUCGGGUAAGUUCCGACCCGCACGAAAGGCGCAACGAUCUGGGCACUGUCUCAACGAGAGACUCGGUGAAAUUAUAGUACCUGUGAAGAUGCAGGUUACCCGCGACAGGACGGAAAGACCCCGUGGAGCUUUACUGCAACCUGAUAUGGAAUGUUUGUACCGCUUGUACAGGAUAGGUAGGAGCCGAAGAGACGUGUGCGCUAGCAUACGAGGAGGCAAUGGUGGGAUACUACCCUGGCUGUAUGACCAUUCUAACCCGCCACGCUUAGCGCGUGGGGAGACAGUGUCAGGUGGGCAGUUUGACUGGGGCGGUCGCCUCCUAAAGAGUAACGGAGGCGCCCAAAGGUUCCCUCAGAAUGGAUGGAAAUCAUUCGCAGAGUGUAAAGGCACAAGGGAGCUUGACUGCGAGACUGACAAGUCGAGCAGGGACGAAAGUCGGGCUUAGUGAUCCGGUGGUUCCGCAUGGAAGGGCCAUCGCUCAACGGAUAAAAGCUACCCCGGGGAUAACAGGCUUAUCUCCCCCAAGAGUCCACAUCGACGGGGAGGUUUGGCACCUCGAUGUCGGCUCGUCGCAUCCUGGGGCUGUAGUCGGUCCCAAGGGUUGGGCUGUUCGCCCAUUAAAGCGGCACGCGAGCUGGGUUCAGAACGUCGUGAGACAGUUCGGUCCCUAUCCGUCGCGGGCGCAGGAAAUUUGAGAGGAGCUGUCCUUAGUACGAGAGGACCGGGAUGGACACACCGCUGGUGUACCAGUUGUUCCGCCAGGAGCAUCGCUGGGUAGCUAUGUGUGGCAGGGAUAAACGCUGAAAGCAUCUAAGCGUGAAGCCCCCCUCAAGAUGAGAUUUCCCAUUUCUUCGGAAAGUAAGAUCCCUGAAAGAUGAUCAGGUAGAUAGGUUUGGAGUGGAAGUGUAGCGAUACAUGGAGCGGACAAAUACUAAUCGAUCGAGGACUUAACCAAAA